UCCCCAAAUGGACAAAGAACAAACAGCAAAACUGUUGAAGAAGUUUCCCCUUGGAAAAAGUUAUUACUGUUUACAAAAUAUCUGUUCAGGAAUGCUGAAAUAUAGCCAUUUUAUAUAAAGUCUUUUCUCCAUCAGAAAUUGACUCCCCCUGUAAGCAAAAAUAAACGCCUACAACAACUUCACAUGCUGCGUGGGUGACACAUGCAUGUCACCCCAGGAGGGCUGAGGUAAUAAGACUGCAGAGCUCCAAGGCCAGCCUGUGCUAUGUAGUAAGGUCAUGCGUGCUGCAAGGGAAACAAAACACACACCUGAUUCUCUCUGAAGAGUGUAAGCAAUGUACAGUCCUAACUCACAUUUAGGAGCCAAAACAGGAACAAGAAAAAAAAAAAUCACUAAAACCAAAUGAUCGUAAGGAUUCAGAUGAAACUGGAGUCUCCCUAUAUCCCUACAAAAUAUUUCCUUAAUCCAGAAAAAAUAAACAAUUCUGCCUUUUUAACUUUAAAAUGUAGUUAAAAACCUUAUUGAUACUGCUCAACUGAAAUUCAGAUCCAAGAACUGAUUGGCUUCUGGUACCUGGGCCAAAAAAAAAUUUUAACUUAAAAGUACCAAGGUGAAAAUUUUAUCAAAGGAAAACCAGUGAGU